AGUGUUGGGAGCCGUGGCACUGUCAAGUCAUCAGACGCGGUGAUUGCGAGGCCUGUGGGAAAGUACAAAAGCCUGGGCUAGAUUACCCCUCUCAUCGAGCCCGCCUGUGUGGCACCUGUUUCUUAUCACCCCACUAAGUUCCCGCCUCACAGGGUAGUCUGCCUAGCUAUUAAUCCUAUAUAUAGCCAGUGCCUCCACCCCCGAGAGAGAGAGAGACUGAAGCACAAAAGGAGCCGCGGGGAGCGGACCGGUAGAGGCUUCGGGGCAGACUGAAGCACGGAAGGAGCCGCGGAGAGCGGACCGGUAGAGGCUUCGGGGCAGACUGUAUAAGGAGAGAAUAAAGAAAAGCCUGACCACCGCCAGACCUUGUUGUGUGUCUUUCCUGCCGGCCGGGAGCGGACAUCGACAUUUGGUGGCCCGCACGGGGAUUGAUCAACCCCGAGACGCGGCGGUGGACUGCAUUCUCCUACACAGUGCUGCAGCUGCAGGACAGGAAUCGGGACGAGAACCAAUGUGGGUCCCAGAGAGGUUGACGCGACAAGUCCCUCGACUGAAGAUCAGGCCUGUUCCACCAGAGGCCAACCGCAGACCCAACAACAAGAUGAGCCCUAAAAGAACUGCAGGACAAUCCCUUUUUGGGGGCCUGGAACGGCUUGCUCCCCUAUGUGCUACCCUUGUAUACGCAUGGCUCGCUCGCAUGGCCUACGACCGCGUUUAAAAGUGACAGGCUUCCCACAUUCUCCUCCCUAGACAACAACAUGUAGCAGGGUAGAUGAGUCAAUGACGGGUAAGAGCGUGCCUCCCCAGCACGACUCAACCUAAGCCAGGCCCUACCCCGUUCCGCUCGAAAGCCGCUGGAUUGUUAGAUAAAUUUCUCUCCGAGGGGAUUCGUGGAGAGAAAUGAGUGCAUGCCUAUGUGCAACCAGGUUCCGUCCGGUUCAUUCCUGGCCCUAGAAAAAAGGACGAGGGCCUCAGGGCCUUGGUGGACCCUGGGACGGCCGACCAGGGUCUACGCUAAGGGCCUACGGUGGGCCUCAGUUCGGGGCAUAGGCCUCUGCACUCUAUCCAGGACGGGCUGCGAUGCGCGUAGCCAUCAUUUAAAAUAAAAUAGGGGGAGAUGUUGGGAGCCGUGGCACUGUCAAGUCAUCAGACGCGGUGAUUGCGAGGCCUGUGGGAAAGUACAAAAGCCUGGGCUAGAUUACCCCUCUCAUCGAGCCCGCCUGUGUGGCACCUGUUUCUUAUCACCCCACUAAGUUCCCGCCUCACAGGGUAGUCUGCCUAGCUAUUAAUCCUAUAUAUAGCCAGUGCCUCCACCCCCGAGAGAGAGAGAGACUGAAGCACAAAAGGAGCCGCGGGGAGCGGACCGGUAGAGGCUUCGGGGCAGACUGAAGCACGGAAGGAGCCGCGGAGAGCGGACCGGUAGAGGCUUCGGGGCAGACUGUAUAAGGAGAGAAUAAAGAAAAGCCUGACCACCGCCA